GACAGAGGGUGCAAACGUUGCUCGGAAUCACUGGGCGUAAAGGGCGUGUAGGCGGGAAGGAAAGUCAGAUGUGAAAUCCCCAGGCUCAACCUGGGAACUGCAUUUGAAACUCCCUUUCUUGAGUACCGGAGAGGAAAGCGGAAUUCCUGGUGUAGAGGUGAAAUUCGUAGAUAUCAGGAGGAACACCAGCGGCGAAGGCGGCUUUCUGGACGGUAACUGACGCUGAUGCGCGAAAGCCAGGGGAGCAAACGGG
rnacentral:rRNA from 1 species